UACGGAGGGUGCAAACGUUGCUCGGAAUUAUUGGGCGUAAAGCGCACGUAGGCGGACCAGCAAGUCGGAUGUGAAAUCCCUCGGCUUAACCGAGGACGUGCAUCGGAAACUGCUGGCCUUGAGUACGAAAGAGGAUCGCGGAAUUCCCGGUGUAGAGGUGAAAUUCGUAGAUAUCGGGAGGAACACCAGUGGCGAAGGCGGCGAUCUGGGUCGAUACUGACGCUGAGGUGCGAAAGCGUGGGGAGCAAACAGG
rnacentral:rRNA from 1 species